GACGAACGCUGGCGGCGUGCUUAACACAUGCAAGUCGAACGGUAAGGCCUUCGGGUACACGAGUGGCGAACGGGUGAGUAACACGUGGGUGAUCUGCCCUGCACUUUGGGAUAAGCCUGGGAAACUGGGUCUAAUACCGAAUACACCCUGCUGGCUGCAUGGCCUGGUGGGGGAAAGCUUUUGCGGUGUGGGAUGGGCCCGCGGCCUAUCAGCUUGUUGGUGGGGUGAUGGCCGACCAAGGCGACGACGGGUAGCCGGCCUGAGAGGGUGACCGGCAACACUGGGACUGAGAUACGGCCCAGACUCCUACGGGAGGCAGCAGUGGGGAAUAUUGCACAAUGGGCGCAAGCCUGAUGCAGCGACGCCGCGUGGGGGAUGACGGCCUUCGGGUUGUAAACCUCUUUCAGUGCCGACGAAGCGCAAGUGACGGUAGGCACAGAAGAAGGACCGGCCAACUACGUGCCAGCAGCCGCGGUAA
rnacentral:rRNA from 1 species